rnacentral:rRNA from 1 species
GACAGCAGUCGCCGCGGUAACACGUAGGUCCCGAGCGUUGUCCGGAUUUAUUGGGCGUAAAGCGAGCGCAGGCGGUUAGAUAAGUCUGAAGUUAAAGGCUGUGGCUUAACCAUAGUACGCUUUGGAAACUGUUUAACUUGAGUGCAGAAGGGGAGAGUGGAAUUCCAUGUGUAGCGGUGAAAUGCGUAGAUAUAUGGAGGAACACCGGUGGCGAAAGCGGCUCUCUGGUCUGUAACUGACGCUGAGGCUCGAAAGCGUGGGGAGCGAACAGGAUUAGAUACCCCAGUAGUCCCUGUCUCUUAUACA